AUUGAACGCUGGCGGCAGGCCUAACACAUGCAAGUCGAACGGUAACAGGAAGAAGCUUGCUUCUUUGCUGACGAGUGGCGGACGGGUGAGUAAUGUCUGGGAAACUGCCUGAUGGAGGGGGAUAACUACUGGAAACGGUAGCUAAUACCGCAUAACGUCGCAAGACCAAAGAGGGGGACCUUCGGGCCUCUUGCCAUCGGAUGUGCCCAGAUGGGAUUAGCUAGUAGGUGGGGUAACGGCUCACCUAGGCGACGAUCCCUAGCUGGUCUGAGAGGAUGACCAGCCACACUGGAAGUUAGACACGGUCCAGACUACUACGGGAGGCAGCAGUGGGGAAUAUUGCACAAUGGGCGCAAGCCUGAUGCAGCCAUGCCGCGUGUAUGAAGAAGGCCUUCGGGUUGUAAAGUACUUUCAGCGGGGAGGAAGGGAGUAAAGUUAAUACCUUUGCUCAUUGACGUUACCCGCAGAAGAAGCACCGGCUAACUCCGUG
rnacentral:rRNA from 1 species